rnacentral:rRNA from 1 species
AACGAACGCUGGCGGCAGGCUUAACACAUGCAAGUCGAGCGCCCCGCAAGGGGAGCGGCAGACGGGUGAGUAACGCGUGGGAAUCUACCCAUCUCUACGGAAUAACGCAUGGAAACGUGUGCUAAUAUCGUAAACGUCCUUCGGGAGAAAGAUUUAUCGGAGAUGGAUGAGCCCGCGUUGGAUUAGCUAGUUGGUGGGGUAAAGGCCUACCAAGGCGACGAUCCAUAGCUGGUCUGAGAGGAUGAUCAGCCACACUGGGGCUGAGACACGGCCCAGACUCCUACGGGAGUCAGCAGUGGGGAAUAUUGGACAAUGGGCGCAAGCCUGAUCCAGCCAUGCCGCGUGAGUGAUGAAGGCCCUAGGGUUGUAAAGCUCUUUCACCGGUGAAGAUAAUGACGGUAACCGGAGAAGAAGCCCCGGCUAACUUCGUGCCAGCCGCCGCCGUAAAAC